AACGUAGGAGCCAAGCGUUAUCCGAAUUCACUGGGCGUAAAGCGCGUGCAGGCGGCCUGAUAAGUUGGAUGUGAAAUCUCCUGGCUCAACUGGGAGAGGCCGUUCAAUACUGUUGGGCUCGAGGGCGACAGAGGGAGGUGGAAUUCCGGGUGUAGUGGUGAAAUGCGUAGAUAUCCGGAGGAACACCAGAGGCGAAGGCGACCUCCUGGGUCGUACCUGACGCUCAGACGCGAAAGCUAGGGGAGCGAACGGG
rnacentral:rRNA from 1 species